rnacentral:lncRNA from 1 species
GGAGAUCAUUAUACAUGACCUGUUCUAAAUACACGGCGAGAAAUGACCGCUUCAACUUUUCCAAUUGUAACUUUAUGAGUUCUGUGGUACAAAGGAGUCAGGACUUUUCGCUGUGAACUGACAUUCAGCACAGAGUGUAUUCGUGCCUAAAGCACCGUGACAAUUAUUGGAACACUAAAACAGCCUACUAUUAAAAAACAAACAAAUAUUACAAACUAUUUUAGUGCAGUGUGUCUGGACACCCACCUGCUGCUGGUGCUGGUGAUGAUGGUAGUAUGCCGCGUUGUAGGCUGCUGCCGCUGCUGCUGAAGACGCAGGGACAUAGUGAGCUCCAUAACUCUGGUAAAACAUCACAUCUAGACAACUCAUGGCUGAGACGGGGCUGUCAGGGGCUCAGAGAGAAACAGCCUGGAUCAGCGCUCAUCAAACGGAUGUAAUCCUCACAUCCACCGCUGCCUCCAUAUAAACCAUGACUGUGACAAUAGGCAUGCUGUCGGUGAAAGGAGCUGUUUGCAUAAAGACAAUACCGAAUCACUAGGACCAACACCUCAUACUGUGCCAAACCAAACCCAAGUGAAAGUGAACAAAAGGUACCGGACAAACUCCACUUGGCCAAGUUAUUAGACGCUACACUGAUUGGAGGAAAGUUUUAACGGUACUGUAUAUGGAGGGAGAGGAGGGAUAGGACUCUGCGUGCACACGCCCAUGGAACUCAUACACGCGGCUCGAAGUAGAGAGGCAUGAUGAGUGUAGCUGCCACUUGAAGAUUCAAUCAAUCAAUCAAUCACAAUAAUCAAUAAAUCCCGUUUUACAUCAGCAGUUGUCACAACGUGCUCUACAGAUACCAAGCAUAAAACCUCAAGACUUGGCCUCGAGGUUCAGUGAAUUGUAAUUAGUAAUGACGAUGGGUCUGGGAACUGCUACAGGCUCUCAUGCCUCAACCAGAUCACCAGGCUCCCCUGCCUCAGCCGGCACGUCAGGCUCUCCUGCCUCUACCGAUCUGUCAGGUUCCCGCACCCCAGCUGACACGACAGGUUCCAGUACCUCAGCUGGCGUGACAGGUUCUCGCGCAUCAGCAGGGGUGACCGGUCCGCUCCUGAUCCCCCGGGUUCGUCCCCUUUGACGGCAUCCUGCGGCUGGAGCCGCGCCUCAGGGAGGGGGUACUGUCACGUAUACUCCCUCUCCGGCCUCUAGGUCAUCAGGCUGCUGAUUAUCCUGUACACCUGUCACCAUCGUCUUGCACACCUGCGCCUCAUGACACUCACCUGGACUCCAUCACCUCCCUGAUUAUCUUCCCUAUAUCUGUCACUCCCCUUGGUUCUUUCCUCAGGUGUUAUUGACUCUGUUUCAUGUC